rnacentral:rRNA from 1 species
UACAGAGGUGGCAAGCGUUGUUCGGAAUUACUGGGCGUAAAGGGCGCGUAGGCGGCCUACUAAGUCAGACGUGAAAUCCCCCGGCUUAACCUGGGAACUGCGUCUGAUACUGGAAGGCUUGAGGAUGGGAGAGGGAUGUAGAAUUCCAGGUGUAGCGGUGAAAUGCGUAGAUAUCUGGAGGAAUACCGGUGGCGAAGGCGGCAUCCUGGACCAUUACUGACGCUGAGGCGCGAAAGCUAGGGGAGCAAACAGG